rnacentral:rRNA from 1 species
CGAUGAGUGCUAGGUGUUGGGUCCUUUCAGGCUCUCAGUGGCGCAGCUCACGCAUUAAGCACUCCGCCUGGGGAGUACGACCGCAAGGUUGGAACUCAAAGGAAUUGACGGGGGCUCGCACAAGCGGUGGAGCAUCUGGUUUAAUUCGAAGCAACGCGAAGAACCUUACCAGGUCUUGACAUCCCGGUCCCCGUCCUAGAGAUAGGAUUUUGCUUCGGCACACCGGUGACAGGUGGUGCAUGGUUGUCGUCAGCUCGUGUCGUGAGAUGUUGGGUUAAGUCCCACAACGAGCGCAACCCUUAUUGUUAGUUGCCAUCAUUCAGUUGGGCACUCUAGCGAGACUGCCGGUAAUAAACCGGAGGAAGGUGGGGAUGACGUCAAAUCAUCAUGCCCCUUAUGACCUGGGCUACACACGUGCUACAAUGGCUGGUACAACGAGUCGCAAGUCGGUGACGGCAAGCUAAUCUCUUAAAGCCAGUCUCAGUUCGGAUUGUAGGCUGCAACUCGCCUACAUGAAGUCGGAAUCGCUAGUAAUCGCGGAUCAGCCCGCCGCGGUGAAUACGUUCCCGGUCCUUGCACACACCCCCCGUC